AUCUUCCUACGGGGGGCAGCAGUGAGGAAUAUUGGUCAAUGGUCGGGAGACUGAACCAGCCAAGCCGCGUGAGGGAGGAAGGUACAGAGUAUCGUAAACCUCUUUUGUCAGGGAACAAAGGCGGGGACGUGUCCCCGGAUGAGUGUACCUGAGGAAAAAGCAUCGGCUAACUCCGUGCCAGCCGCCGCGGUAAUACGGAGGAUGCGAGCGUUAUCCGGGUUUAUUGGGUUUAAAGGGUGCGCAGGCGGUCUGUUAAGUCAGCGGUCAAAGGCCGGGGGUCA
rnacentral:rRNA from 1 species